rnacentral:lncRNA from 1 species
UUCUCAGUAUCAAUUUUGGGCUCAGAUUCUUCUAUUGGGUUAGCUUCAGUACUAACUUUUUCUUUCAAAUUCAUAUUUUGAUUAGUAUCAGUACUAGCCUCACUCAUCUGAUCUUGGUAUGGGUUCUUAAAAAUCCUAUCACUUUUAAGCUCAAAAAUUACAUUGUCACUUUUAAAUUGGAGAUUCUUAGGUGGGCCAUUGGAUUGAUGAUUAGG